UGCAUGAAUAAUUUGAGACUCAGUCCAGUUUAAUAAUUCAAUUCAACAGCAUUGCACACUGUGAAUCAGAUCUUGAAGAUACACAGAUGGGCAAAGAGAAGUUCCAGCUUAUGAGGGACAUGCUAUUCAGAAUGGCAGAUGAAACCAUGAACAAACAAUAACAACUUGAUUGAUUUCAGAGGAAGUGAUUGGGGUGUACCAUUUCAAAUACAGUGUGGAUGCAGUACAAUUCUUGGCUCUAGACUUGUUAAUUGGCUUUUCCUCAAGCUGAUAGGUUGUUUUUUUAACCACUAAUAGAGAAAAAUGCACAGAAAGGCCCCACAGACACCCUACCCACUGUGGCUCACAAACUUAUGCCCCUUGCUUUUCCACAGUGCCCAGCUUUCCAACACCUGUGCUCUGCUGGGAAGGAGGGGCAAAAAGAAGGAGGAGCUGGACAUGAAUGCUAGGAAACCCGAGCAGGUGCUGGCCAGCUGAAUGGAGACUGAAAGCUGAAUCGUUUCUUCUGCGGAGGCAAGAAUUGAGUUUGCUUCAGACCUGGACAGAACCACUGCCGCUAACAUAUUUCGGUGCCCUGUGACUCGGAAAUGUUCCACCGGCUGCAGUUUAGGCUAACCCUGCUUAUUCCUGUAAACCAACAAGGGACCUCUGCAGUUCAGAAGAAACAAGAGGGAUCGGCCAUCAAGCUCCAGAUGAUCCUCAGUGAGGGAUACUGUCCUCUCAAUAUUCAAGAGUCACCCUUCUACAGAAGAUCCCUAGACUUCCCAUCAGUGGGACAUGACAGAGGUGAGAAACCUGAGAUUCGUGGAAGUUAAAAGACUUGUGCAGCAUCCACAGCUACACUGGCCAUUCCUGUCGUCUUCAAUAUGAGUUCUUCCAUGCUUACGAAGUGCCUAAAAACAAUUUCUAACCUCAUUUUAAAGAAGAUGGAAAAGAAAAUUAAUUCUGCAAUUCACUAAUAAAUGUUUCUGUAAUGAUA
rnacentral:lncRNA from 1 species